GACAGAGGGUGCAAACGUUGUUCGGAAUUACUGGGCGUAAGGCGAGUGUAGGCGGUCUUCUAAGUCGGAUGUGAAAGCCCCGGGCUCAACCCGGGAAGUGCACUCGAAACUGGAAGGCUAGAGUAUCGGAGAGGUUGGUGGAAUUCUCGGUGUAGAGGUGAAAUUCGUAGAUAUCGAGAGGAACACCGGUGGCGAAGGCGGCCAACUGGACGAAUACUGACGCUCAUGCACGAAAGCGUGGGGAGCAAACAGG
rnacentral:rRNA from 1 species